AGCAGCCGCCACGGGAAUACGUAGGGUGCAAGCGUUAAUCGGAAUUACUGGGCGUAAAGCGUGCGCAGGCGGUUAUAUAAGACAGAUGUGAAAUCCCCGGGCUCAACCUGGGAACUGCAUUUGUGACUGUAUAGCUAGAGUACGGCAGAGGGGGAUGGAAUUCCGCGUGUAGCAGUGAAAUGCGUAGAUAUGCGGAGGAACACCGAUGGCGAAGGCAAUCCCCUGGGCCUGUACUGACGCUCAUGCACGAAAGCGUGGGGAGCAAACAGGAUUAGAUACCCCAGUAGUCCCUGUCUCUUAUAC
rnacentral:rRNA from 1 species